rnacentral:rRNA from 1 species
AACAGGUCUUCGGACGCUGACGAGUGGCGAACGGGUGAGUAAUGUAUCGGAACGUGCCCAGUCGUGGGGGAUAACUGCUCGAAAGAGCAGCUAAUAUCGCAUACGACCUGAGGGUGAAAGCGGGGGAUCGCAAGACCUCGCGCGAUUGGAGCGGCCGAUGGCAGAUUAGGUAGUUGGUGGGAUAAAAGCUUACCAAGCCGACGAUCUGUAGCUGGUCUGAGAGGACGACCAGCCACACUGGGACUGAGACACGGCCCAGACUCCUACGGGAGGCAGCAGUGGGGAAUUUUCCGCAAUGGGCGAAAGCCUGACGGAGCAAUGCCGCGUGAAGGUAGAAGGCCUACGGGUCAUGAACUUCUUUUCCCGGAGAAGAAGCAAUGACGGUAUCCGGGGAAUAAGCAUCGGCUAACUCUGUGCCAGCAGCCGCGGUAAG